GACGAACGCUGGCGGCGUGCUUAACACAUGCAAGUCGAACGGAGUGGCGAACGGGUGAGUAACACGUGGGUGACCUGCUCUGCACUUCGGGAUAAGCCUGGGAAACUGGCUCUAAUACCGGAUAGUGUGGGAUGGGCCCGCGGCCUAUCAGCUUGUGGGGGGGGGAAUGGCCUACCAAGGCGGCGACGGGUAGCCGGCCUGAGAGGGUGGACGGCCACAUUGGGACGGAAACACGGCGCAGACUCCUACGGGAGGCAGCAGGGGGGAAUAUUGCACAAUGGACGAAAGCCUGAGGCGGGUACGCCGCGUGGGUGAUGAAGGCUUUCGGGUUGUAAACCUCUUUCGCUAUCGAACGGGUAGGUGGAGAAGAAGCGCCGGCUAACUACGUGCCAGCAGCCGCGGUAAUAC
rnacentral:rRNA from 1 species